GAUAGUGCAGCCCUAAGUGGGUGGUAAACUCCAUCUAAGGCUAAAUAUGACCACGAGACCGAUAGCGAACAAGUACCGUGAGGGAAAGUUGAAAAGCACUUUGAAGAGAGAGUUCAAGAGUACGUGAAACCGUUUAGGGGUAAACCUGAGAAACCCGAAAGGUCGAAGGGAGAAAUUCAUUCGCGUUUCGCAGUCGGCGUGAGGCGAUCGAGUGACGGAAUGCGUCUUCGGAUGUUUUCUGCACCUUUUGUUUUUCGAUCCGAUAGCGAACGCGUGCACUUUUCUCCUGGUAGGACGUCGCGAUCCGUUGGGUGUCGGUCUACGGCUCACGGUGGAGACCGGAUGUACGGCUUGCCGUCACGUCCGGACCCGUGUGUCCCGGCUGACUCGCUCGACGGUAUACGAAAGGUUUA
rnacentral:rRNA from 1 species